rnacentral:rRNA from 1 species
GAAUAUUGGACAAUGGGGGGAACCCUGAUCCAGCCAUGCCGCGUGUGUGAAGAAGGCCUUUUGGUUGUAAAGCACUUUAAGCGAGGAGGAGGAGCUUUUGGUUAAUACCCAAGAUGCUUGGAUGUUUCUCGACGAAUAAGCUCCGGCUAACCCGGGUCCCGCAGCCGCGGCAAUACAGAGGGUGCAAGCGUUAAUCGGAUUUACUGGGCGUAAAGCGUGCGUAAGUGGGCAAAUAAGUCAAAUGUGAAAUCCCCGAGCUUAACUUGGGAAUUGCAUUCGAUACUGGUUGGCUAGAGUAUGGGAGAGGAUGGUAGAAUUCCAGGUGUAGCGGUGAAAUGCGUAGAGAUCUGGAGGAAUACCGAUGGCGAAGGCAGCCAUCUGGCCUAAUACUGACACUGAGGUGCGAAAGCAUGGGGAGCAAACA